rnacentral:rRNA from 1 species
AUUGAACGCUGGCGGCAGGCCUAACACAUGCAAGUCGAGCGGAUGACGGGAGCUUGCUCCUUGGUUCAGCGGCGGACGGGUGAGUAAUGCCUAGGAAUCUGCCUGGUAGUGGGGGACAACGUUUCGAAAGGAACGCUAAUACCGCAUACGUCCUACGAGAGAAAGCAGGGGACCUUCGGGCCUUGCGCUAUCAGAUGAGCCUAGGUCGGAUUAGCUAGUUGGUGGGGUAAUGGCUCACCAAGGCGACGAUCCGUAACUGGUCUGAGAGGAUGAUCAGUCACACUGGAACUGAGACACGGUCCAGACUCCUACGGGAGGCAGCAGUGGGGAAUAUUGGACAAUGGGCGAAAGCCUGAUCCAGCCAUGCCGCGUGUGUGAAGAAGGUCUUCGGAUUGUAAAGCACUUUAAGUUGGGAGGAAGGGCAGUAAGUUAAUACCUUGCUGUUUUGACGUUACCGACAGAAUAAGCACCGGCUAACUCUGUGCCAGCAGCCGCCGUAACAC